rnacentral:rRNA from 1 species
UACGUAUGGUGCAAGCGUUAUUCGGAUUUAUUGGGCGUAAAGGGUCCGUAGGCGGUUUACUAAGUCUGAUGUGAAAUCCUGUGGCUCAACCAUAGAACUGCAUUGGAAACUGGUAAACUUGAGUAUUGGAGAGGUAAGCGGAAUUUCCGGUGUAGCGGUGGAAUGCGUAGAUAUCGGAAGGAACACCAAGAGCGAAGGCAGCUUACUGGACAAUCACUGACGCUGAGGGACGAAGGCAUGGGGAGCGAAAAGG